UGAUCAGUUUGACGUCCAUGAGUCACUUGUGCCGGUUUAACCUCCUGUCACUAUUUUCUGUGCAUAUUUUGGAGGGUCUUAUAAUAGAAGCCCAAAAUAACAAGCAGAGGUUUAUUAUCAUUGUCUAUCCAGUGAGGGUAAAUUGCAUCACAUCUCUAAAUCCGCUGAGGGCUAAUCUAGGGUCAGUUUCACCUUAUCCAGAAUGGAAGUGAUCCUGAAACAGACAUCUGAGACUCUAGAUAUCCAUAUGGACCCAGAUCAGCAGGGGGAACUGUUUGGACUCUCAUUCUGACGGCACCCAUUCACUGCAGAGGAUCCACUGGCGAGCAAGUUCUGUAAUGCUACAUUUCUCCAAAUCCUUUCCCAUAAAGAAUCAAACUCAUCUACAGUACAUCUUGGAUGGCAUGUGGAUUUCCUGAGGUUGUUCUUUUGAGGAGGGUGACAGUCUGACAGCUCAAUUUGGUGGCGACGCCCCUGAGACCCCCCAUUAAACUGUGCUGGAGGUAACAUCAUAACUCUCCCAUGCUCCCUGAACAGGCCGCAAAGAGCAGAGAGGACAAACCAGAGCCGAUGAAUCAGUCUGGUACCUUCCCCAAACGCUCACAGGAUGACCUCUAUGGGCACAAAAUAUAGAAGGAAGUCCAUCUGCUGUCCUUAUGUAACUUAUUCAUUAUUAGUACCUGUUAAAGCAAAUAUCACUAUAAUAGUUAUUAUUAUCACUUUCUAACACAGUCCACGCACUCGAGUCUGUCGUCAAGACAAAUGGAGUGAAAGAACGUUUGCUUUGACGCAUUUGAUUUAAACAGCUCGUUGGCAUCUUUAUACAGAUGUUGUAUAGAAGGAUCCCAGUGUAAGGAACAAAUGGAUAGUUUAUUUUUAUCCCUGACCGUUUGUUAAAAGAUGAAGCGGUAGUAAGUAAAUGCUUUCAUAAUGCUUUGUCUGGACAUUACCAUUUUUAAUUUUUUUGAUCAUGUUGUCAAAACACUCACAUGCAAUUGGCGAGGGGGUUCGUUGUGCAAUGGCGUUAGAAAAUCAUAACAAGUGGCUGAUUCUUGACAAGCCUUAAAGUACAUGACCCUUAAAACAAGUCAUUUUAGACAGAGGGUCAGAACGAGGGUUGAAAAUAAUAAUUUUUCCACAUAUUUAUUUAUUUAUCCAAAAAUCCAUGUCAUGACCCCUUUACAUUAAUGUGGAUGUAGUUUUUGAUAUCUGAUCACAAAUGGCUACUCCUGGUAAAACUAAAACAUUCAUUAUUCAGUUCAACCAUAAAUCAGGUUUAUUGCUGCUAAAAAUGAGCAUCAUGUAAGGGAAAUUGUUUGUAUGUAAAUUGCUGUAGCGCAUAAUAUAUUUUUGGCCUAUCAUGAACAAGAUGAACUAUUAUCAAUGCAUGAAUCAAACUCAUUCAGGAUGCUUAAGGUUUCUGACAUUUUUCCAUACAUCAUUUUUUUUUUAUGAUAACGCUAGAUGUGGAGCUGAAAUGAUGUAUGGAACAGUGAAAUCACUCACUGUAAUAUUAACGUCUCAUCUGUGAAAUUUUGUCUGCUGACAGGAGACAGACCAUGUGACUUCCUCUGACUUCACAGAGUGCAAUGCUCUGUAAGUAAAAACAAUGUUCAGAAAUUGAUUUUUAAUGAAAACUUAAAAAUGACCUACUGUGAGUUCUACGGUUGUUAAUCAAUGGUAAUUUCUUUUGUUGAAAAUUAUUUUUGAAAUAAUUUUUUAACAGAUGAAUUUGAGGAAAAAAUACUUCAUUUUCUUAGGCAUAAUAAUGUUUCUUGUUUCUUUCUUUUCAUUUUGUGGUGAAAUAUGACCCUGGCAGCGUUUCCCAUUGGCGCCAAUGGUAAUCACCCAGAACACCCUGGUGAGAUUUGCACAGGGUGCAAGCACUAUUCACAUUGUCUUUAGAAAAUGUAAUAAUACAGAAUAUGUAUUACAAAGUGAUUGGAAUUCGCUAUGGGAGAUAUUUAGUUUUUUGAAACUUCAUUAUAUUUUUUAGAGAAUACUGAUCCUGUUUUCUACAUACUAAUGGGCUUCUAAACUUUGCUACUGCUGGCUGAUGAUUAAGUAAACUUACAGUUGGUUUUAGUUCUCUUUUGUCAUCAAUCAGGCUAGCAUGCGUUAUUAAACCUCUCAUGCCCACUUACCCAGACAUUUAAACUCUGUGCGCUGGGGUCUGCAGCCGAGUACACCUGAUGGAUUAGGACAGAAGCAUAGAGUGAUGGAGAGGAUGAGGGAGCCAGGGUUAUAUUUGGCCUGUCUAAACGAGAGGAGAUGUGGAUUGCCUUCUGCGCAGAUUUGUCGUUCCGAUGUGGGGUGGUGGCAUCUCUCCAGGUUUCCGUUAUGUGCCACUGACUGCGGUAAUGAGAGUCGUUUAUAUUGUCAUUUGUUUACAAGGCUUGCAGUGACCAUGUCUGCCACUGCCAGACAGGGAGCAGAAGGAGACGCUAAUAUGAGGAUGUGGAUAUGUUGAGUCUGUGGUGGUGUCAUUAAAAAUGGAUCAACAGAAUAACAAUAAACAAGGACAGUAAGUUCAACAGAUUAAUGAUUUGUCAAUUAGCAGAUGCUUUUAUCCAAUGUGACUCACAGUGCAUUUAACUAUUACAGGAAGAAACCUCUGAACGACCUGAGUACAAGUGUCUGAUUCAAUGACUAUCUAUCUAUCUAUCUAUCUAUCUAUCUAUCUAUCUAUCUAUCUAUCUAUCUAUCUAUCUAUGUUUAAAUAUUUGUUAAAUAUUAUUAGAUAUUAAAUAUUACUAAAUGUUAGUUUAAUAUUAGUUAUAUGAAUUCCUUCGAAUUUUAUUUAAUUGUACUUCCUUAUAUUCAGCUUCAAUUUACAGUUACAAUUCUGCUUUCUGUUUGCUUCCUCAAUUCAUUUUAAUUCAAUUCAUGAAAUAAAUUCAAACUGAGAAAGGGCAAUCACUGAACAAAUUCAGAAUUGUGUGCUUUAGUGUUACUGAGGACAGUUAUUAGGACAGUUGUACACUCACAAAUCUAAGCAUAAUGUUUUCUCUCAACAAACCUUUUGUACUCUGUGAGCUUGUUAUAAACGUAAUGCUUGUCCUAAAGUACUUUCUUUCUCUGAAUAUGAACAGUUUCAUCAUAUUCUUCAUAUGCUUUCAAUGCAGCAUCUCAAAAUGUGUCAAUCAAUCAUCAGAAAUAUGUGUAACUCUGUAAGGAAAUGUACACUAUUUAUUCAUAGAGUCGAGGGCCAGCUCGCUGCGGAAGUUAUCAGAGCGAUUGUCCUCCUGUCCAAGUCUCCAGCAGUGCCUUCAGGCAUCAGACCGUGUCGUCCCCGUGUCCUCACAAAUACCCUUCUACAGCACCAGAUGUUUCUACACACGUCGCUGAUAGAUAUACAGACCGAAUAAAUAAAGUCAUGGAACAACAAGAGGAUGAGUUAAUGAUGACAGAAUUUUAAUUUCGGGGUCAACUGCAUAUCAGAG
ensembl:lncRNA